CUCACUGCGACCUCACCAGUGGCUAACAGGCCCAAACAAAGACACAGUUAUUGAGCCUCUUUCAGCUUUCUGCCAACCAGUCCAGCGUUGGAAAGAACAUUUCCAUCCUUCAUCAUUACACAGCAGGUGGAAAACUUUGUGGGAAACGCGCUGAGCUCAGUGGACACGGCCUCUCCAAGAUCAGCUGUGACGACUACCAGGCCAUUCUGUCCUUUGUAAACACUGACAGAGCCACUGGAAGCUGCUGCUCACUGAUACUUUCUGCAAACAUCACUUUAUAU